UACGUAGGGGGCAAGCGUUGUCCGGAAUCAUUGGGCGUAAAGCGCGCGUAGGCGGGUCUUUAAGUGAGUGGUGAAAGGUUCGGGCUCAACCCGGACACUGCCUUUCAUACUGGGGACCUUGAGUGCGGGAGGGGCGAGUGGAAUGGUCGGUGUAGCGGUGAAAUGCGUAGAUAUCGAUCGGAACACCCAUGGCGAAGGCAGCUCGCUGGCCUGCAACUGACGCUGAGGCGCGAAAGCGUGGGGAGCAACCAGG
rnacentral:rRNA from 1 species